rnacentral:lncRNA from 1 species
GCUAAUAUAUAUAUAUAUAUAUAACAAAACGUUUAAAACUAUUUGAAUUGAAAUCGACUCAACACAUUUGGUACAUAGACAUUUUUUCUUCAAAUUAUUUGUUUUCAACUUAACAUCUAGUCAUCUAUAUUACUUCGUUUCUAGAAAAUUUUAUCACUCUGCUAAUGUUUGUGAAUUUACAUGUACAAAUUAAUGCGUUGUAACAACGCUUAGAAUUGAGUAAUUGUUUACAAGUGAUACAAGUAGAAAGUCUCUAUUGGGGUCUUGAUUUGAUUUUUUUAUGGAUGUCUUGAUUUGAUUUAGGUAAACAAUCAGCUCAUUUAAAUACGAAACAUUUUUGAUAAAAAAAAUAAUAAAAAAAAAUCCGAAACUUUUCUUGAAAAAGUGUGGAAGGAGAUAUAUUUGAGAGAUGUAACCUAAAUUGUGAUUGAAUGGAACUACGCUCCUACUGAUUUUAUAUAGAAAGAUUUGCAUUGUUGAGCACUUUUUGAGAUCUACUUAUCUCUAGAUGGCAGUCUAUUCUGAAAACGUUUUUUAAAAACAAUGCAUGAGAUUAAUUAGCAUAAUAGCUCAUUUAAGCAAUGAUUCUAUUUCAAGUUUGUUUAUGAUCCGUUUCCCAAACGUUUGAAAUUGAUAUAAAAAAAAAAAAACUAAUUCAUCGUGAUACAUAUGUAACACCUUACAUUUAACAAAAAAGGUCAAUGGAAGUAGGGAACGGUUCUCCAUCACAUAACCUUGUCUAAUUUUUGUUCAUUACUCAUUAGUAUCAGCCAAAAGCAUUGCUUCAACAACCACGUGACAUAAACAGGCAUCCUAACCAUCAAACCAUAACCCAAACUUG